rnacentral:rRNA from 1 species
UACGGGAGGCAGCAGGGGGAAUAUUGCACAAUGGGCGCAAGCCUGAUGCAGCCAUGCCGCGUGUAUGAAGAAGGCCUUCGGGUUGUAAAGUACUUUCAGUCGUGAGGAGGGUGUUAAGGUUAAUAACCUUAGCAAUUGACGUUAGCGACAGAAGAAGCACCGGCUAACUCCGUGCCAGCAGCCGCGGUAAUACGGAGGGUGCGAGCGUUAAUCGGAAUUACUGGGCGUAAAGGGCACGCAGGCGGUUAAUUAAGUUGGAUGUGAAAUCCCCGGGCUUAACCUGGGAAUGGCAUUCAAGACUGGUUAGCUAGAGUCUUGUAGAGGGGGUAGAAUUCCAUGUGUAGCGGUGAAAUGCGUAGAGAUGUGGAGGAAUACCGGUGGCGAAGGCGGCCCCUGGACAAAGACUGACGCUCAUGUGCGAAAGCGUGGGGAGCAAACAGGGAUUAGAUACC